rnacentral:rRNA from 1 species
GAUGAACGCUGGCGGCGUGCUUAACACAUGCAAGUCGAACGAUGAAGCCCAGCUUGCUGGGUGGAUUAGUGGCGAACGGGUGAGUAACACGUGAGUAACCUGCCCUUGACUCUGGGAUAAGCCUGGGAAACUGGGUCUAAUACUGGAUAUGACUUCUCAUCGCAUGGUGGGGGGUGGAAAGAUUUAUUGGUCUUGGAUGGACUCGCGGCCUAUCAGCUUGUUGGUGAGGUAAUGGCUCACCAAGGCGACGACGGGUAGCCGGCCUGAGAGGGUGACCGGCCACACUGGGACUGAGACACGGCCCAGACUCCUACGGGCGGCAGCAGUGGGGAAUAUUGCACAACGGGCGCAAGCCUGAUGCAGCGACGCCGCGUGAGGGAUGACGGCCUUCGGGUUGUAAACCUCUUUCAGUAGGGAAGAAGCGAGCGUGACGGUACCUGCGGAAGAAGCGCCGGCUAACUACGUG